UAGGGAAUCUUCCGCAAUGGACGCAAGUCUGACGGAGCAACGCCGCGUGAGUGAAGAAGGAUUUCGGUUCGUAAAACUCUGUUGUUAGAGAAGAACAGCGCAUAGAGUAACUGUUAUGCGUGUGACGGUAUCUAACCAGAAAGCCACGGCUAACUACGUGCCAGCAGCCGCGGUAAUACGUAGGUGGCAAGCGUUGUCCGGAUUUAUUGGGCGUAAAGCGAGCGCAGGCGGUCAAUUAAGUCUGAUGUGAAAGCCCCCGGCUCAACCGGGGAGGGUCAUUGGAAACUGGUUGACUUGAGUGCAGAAGAGGAGAGUGGAAUUCCAUGUGUAGCGGUGAAAUGCGUAGAUAUAUGGAGGAACACCAGUGGCGAAGGAUACUCUCUGGUCUGUAACUGACGCUGAGGCUCGAAAGCGUGGGUAGCAAACAGG
rnacentral:rRNA from 1 species